rnacentral:tRNA from 1 species
GGGAGCUUAGCUCAGUUGGUUUAGAGCAUUACCUCGACAAGGUAAGGGUCGCUGGUUCGAGCCCAGUAGCUCCCACGA